rnacentral:tRNA from 1 species
AGGAGGUUAGCUCAGCUGGUUUAGAGCGAUAGUCUUACAAACUAUAGGUCAUCGGUUCGAUCCCGUUACCUCCUA